rnacentral:rRNA from 1 species
UACGGAGGGGGCAAGCGUUGUCCGGACUUACUGGGCGUAAAGGGUGCGUAGGCGGCCUGCUGCGUCGGUGCUGAAAGCGCCCGGCUUAACCGGGCGAGGCGUGCCGAUACGAGCGGGCUGGAGCCUUGGCGAGGGUGGCGGAACUCCUGGUGUAGUGGUGAAAUGCGCAGAUAUCAGGAGGAACACCGGUGGCGAAGGCGGGUCACUGGGCCGAUACUGACGCUGAGGAGCGAAAGCGUGGGGAGCGAACAGG